CUCUCACUCUCUCUCUCUCUCUCUCUCUCUCUCUCUCUCUUCGGCCUUCCCGUGCUCUUUUUUUCCUCUCUGUCUAUAUAUAUAUUUGGAAGUAGGCGAAAAGCAAGCGAACACAACCAGUACAGGAUCUGCUCGUUUUCCUCAGGCGUGAAAGGUGAUGGGAUUUUAUAUUUCUCCUGUCUCUCCCACAAAGUUGUGAAGAGUCCGGAAGAUCUUGAUGGGGAUUUGAGAGCAGAGUCGGUCGGUUAACAUGUGUCUCGUCCUGUUUAGUGUUUAUUGCCAAUUAAAUAAAAUAAUAAACAUCAACACUCCACUCCCUGCAGCUCCCAUGGCUUGGUUCACAGAUGCUGAGAUAGUGACUGUAAGGCUGCACCAUCAAUUCUUAUUUCUGGCACCUAAG
rnacentral:lncRNA from 1 species